GGAGCCGUAGUUCAUCGGCAGAACGCGAUCCUUAUAAGAUCGAUGUAGAUGGUCCGACUCCAUCCGGCUCCA
rnacentral:tRNA from 1 species